UUUUUAUUGCAUUUUCGCACAUCGUUCUAAUUGAGCAUUGCGGAAUGAAUUAGUGACGAUGUGUAAUGGUCAGUUUGCCCGAAGAGCAAAAGCUGUGCGUUGUAAAUCGCACGUAACGGCCGUUUGGCUUGUCAGACAUGGCGAAGAUAGGAUUUGAGUCAGAAUAAGCAGCACAGACAGGAUUGGGACGUCUAGCAAAUUUCACAUCUACAUAGUUUAAGGAGGAGGACAUCACGUUCAUUUGCAAAGAAAAAGUGUUUUUGUUACUAAAAUGUUAUAAUUGAAAAAUAUAAAAUAGC